GCAGAUGUAACUCAGCGGUAGAGUGCAACCUUGCCAAGGUUGAUGCCAUGGGUUCGAAUCCCAUUAUCUGCU
rnacentral:tRNA from 1 species